rnacentral:rRNA from 1 species
GCCUACAGCCAUGCUACCCUGAACAAGCCUGAUCCUGUCUGAUCUAGGAAGCUAAGCAGAGUCGGGCCUAGUUAGUACUUGGAUGGGAGACCACCUAGGAAGACCAGGUGCUGUAGGUG